CAAUCUGCUGUCGUAUAUCAGUUUUACCUUCAUACAAAGAUAAUAAAUUUUGUCUAUUUUAAAAUAUUUUUUCGUACUUUUUUAUUAAAAGACAUUUAAUAAAUUUUUGAAUAGAUGCAAAACUGAUACAUGACAGCGGAUUAUUAGAGAGCUCUCCACUAAAAUUUUAUUUUAGGAUUGCUAUGUCUAUGGACCUUGCGAAGAAAGAGCAAAAGGAAACAAAA
rnacentral:lncRNA from 1 species